AGAGGGAGGGAGCAGCACUGAAGCUCCGUGGCUGAGCGCUGUUUGUGCCGGCAGGACAGUGUGUGUGCUUGCCCACGCCGUGGGUGCCUGUGGCUGAUGGACAACAGAGCUGUGUGCUGGGGGCAGGAGCCCUGUGUGUCCCAGUGUCAGUGAUACCACCGUGUCCUUUACCUCCUCACCUUGUCUUUGUGGCUGUGGCCUCUGACAUGCUGGCCCCUCUGGGAGCUGUGUGUUCUGCUGUGGCGAUGCAGUGGGAGCUGUGCGGUGCCUGCCAGGGGAUGCUUUGGGCUUCCGUGGGAUUGCUUGGUUCCCAAAGUGACUGCAACUAACUCCAGGUUGGGACUGCUUCUCGGAGGAUGUCCUGGGCAUCUCCGCUUGUUUCCUUCCAGCCUCGCUACGGAGUACUUGGAGUAUUUCAUUUGUCCCUGCCAGUGGAGGACAGAGUCACAGGCCUCCAGAGGGUUAAGAGCAUCUGCCUUUACGCCAAGUGUUCGAGCAGGAAAUAAUCUGCAGAGAUACAUGUGCAGCAAUUCAACUGCUGUUGCUCUCCCAGGCUGCUGCCGCUGCUGCUCGGUGUGUGUCAGGAGCCGCGCUGCUUGCAGAAGAUGCUUUCUUGGUGUGUCCGAAGUGCUGGGCUUGGCAGCAGAGCCCCUGCUCUUAUGUCUGGGGUGAAUGUCUCCAUCCACGAGGAAUUAUGUUGACCUGCAGGCUCUGCUGGCUCAGUGAGGUCUCCGUGGCAUGUCUCCAUCCCAAUCCAGCUCUGUGCCAUCCACUAGUACAGAGUUUUGCAGAGAGCCCACUAAAGACAUACUAGCAAGACCCUGAAUCACAGACGGAGCAAAUUGACAUUGAUUGUGACCUUGUGGCCCCAAACCCUCUUGGGAUCAGCUACCGAAGGGACUGAACUUGGCUCUUUUCUGGAAAUUAUUUGCUGCCUGGGACCUUUUCCUUGUGAAUGAAGGCUGAUGGAUACACGUGUUCAGGUGACACUGUGUGACAGAUGCUCACUGUGCCCCAACGCCCUGCCCUGGCUUUGCAGCCACGCGCCAGAUGUGCAGACAGCAGCAAGGAGUUCCCUCCCCUGAGUGCAGAUGCUCUCUUUCAAGAAAGAAAAUGGUGGACCUGGGAUUCAGCUGGAGAUUGCAAAGCCUACUGCUCCUCAAGGCUGUUGGUCAGCCUUCCGCAGCUCCCAGCGGAACCAGAGGAGCUCCGCGCUGACUUCUGUAGGGUCUGAUUCACCAUGGGAGAUCAAAUGAUUUCCUGGCUCAGGUUUUGUGAAGUUCGACGUCUGCUUUGGACCCACAAUUUGGAAAAGGGAUCGCCUCUGCGGCACGGUUAAGAGACAGAUAAAGCAGUCCCAGAUGAUGAGCACUUUAAGUAGCACUGGAAUAUUACUCAGCUUGACAACAGUGUCUGUUACGCUGGAUUUUAGCUUGCAUGGUGGUCUGAUGGCUUGGUCUUUAAGCACCAAUUUGACUCUGAAUCAGAGUUUACCUACAUCCGAUCCUCUCAAUACCUCUGAGAAGGGUGAAAUCUCUCGGAUGUCAGUGAGAGAGAAGAACUGGCCAGCCCUCUUGAUCUUGGUCAUCAUCCUGCUUACCAUCGGGGGCAACAUACUGGUAAUUAUGGCUGUGUCCUUGGAGAAGAAGUUGCAGAACGCCACAAACUUCUUCCUGAUGUCCUUGGCGGUGGCAGACAUGCUGGUGGGUAUCCUGGUCAUGCCCGUGUCGCUCAUUGCAGUGCUGUAUGAUUAUGCUUGGCCUUUGCCUAAACAGUUGUGCCCUAUAUGGAUUUCCCUAGAUGUGCUCUUUUCAACUGCAUCUAUAAUGCAUCUCUGUGCCAUCUCUCUUGAUCGGUAUGUAGCAAUACGCAAUCCCAUUGAGCACAGCCGCUUCAAUUCCCGCACCAAGGCUAUUAUGAAAAUUGCUGCAGUUUGGACCAUAUCCAUAGGGAUAUCUAUGCCCAUUCCAGUCAUUGGUUUGCAGGAUGACUCCAGAGUGUUCAUCAAUGGGACCUGCGUCCUCAAUGAUGAGAACUUUGUCCUCAUUGGGUCUUUCAUGGCGUUCUUCAUCCCUCUCAUCAUCAUGGUGAUCACAUAUUGCCUGACCGUCCAGGUGCUGCAGAGACAGGCCACAGUGUUCAUGUGUGGAGAGGUGCCCAAGCAGAGGAGAAGCAGCGUGAACUGCCUCAAGAAAGAAAACAACACAGAGCACAUUUCGAUGCUUCACAACCACGAAGGGGCAUCGCAUUUGAACUCUCCUGUGAGUAAGGAGGCAGUGCUUUUUCGGAAAGGAACUAUGCAGUCCAUCAACAAUGAGCGAAGAGCCUCCAAGGUCCUGGGCAUCGUUUUCUUUUUGUUUCUCAUCAUGUGGUGCCCAUUCUUCAUCACUAACGUCAUGUCCGUCCUUUGCAAGGAAGCCUGCGAUAAAGACCUCUUGAGCGAGCUCCUCGACGUGUUUGUUUGGGUGGGGUAUGUUUGCUCAGGGGUUAAUCCCCUCGUAUACACACUCUUCAAUAAAACCUACCGCAGGGCUUUCUCCAGUUAUAUCCGCUGCCAAUACAAGACCAGCAAAAAAUCAGCACUGCGACAGAAUCAGUGCCUGAAUGUUGCUUCGACAGCUUUAUACGGGAAAGAUCUGACUUUAACUAGUUAUCGAAAUGGCAAUGAGCUCAACAGCAUGGAACUAGAUGAAGCUGAGGAGGGCCUUGAAAUGCAACCAGGGACCUCAGAGCUCUCCAUAAACAGCUGUAAUGUUGUGAGCGAAAGAGUGAGCUGUGUGUAAAGGUGGCUCACACACCUUCGACUGCGGGCCAUCUGUGGCCAAAACACAUUGUAUAAAAAUGUAAGCGUUGGUCAAUGGACGAUGUAAAUACUGCAUUCUGAACAAAGAUUUUUUUUAAGGAGAAAAAAAAAAGAUUUGUCUUUCCAGUCCAGUACUUAAAAUCAUAUAUAUUAAUAUACUGCAGUGAAGUUUAAGGUUCUAUAUUUACUGUUAAUACUAGAUCAGAUCUAGUUACUUUGCAUAUGUCAUGGACAAAAUGUUUGAAUUCUUCUUCCAGUGCAUGAACAAAAAUGCUGAAUAUUUAUCUCAGGUGGCAUUUGCUGGAGUCCAGAAUGGCACGUUAAUAGUUAUAUAUCAAAUACAUGCUAUUAGACUUGGUCAGUAUAACUUUCUUUUUCAAGUUGACAGUAAAUAUAUACUUUAAAUCCUCACCCCUAUUUGUGCCGUGUAAAGAGUGUACAGAAACCUGGCAGAGACAGCAUAAGAGCUGUAGGCAGCUGGCCAGGUGUGUCGUGGUAAGAGUCGUGGCUCACUUGCAUCCUGGGGCAACAUUUCACUACUAGGGACCAUCCUGCUGCUUCCUCUCCAUUCACCAGUUUGAUCCUAGGUUAGGAAUGUGUUUCUGGUGUGGUGUUGGGAUCGCUUGCAAACUUGGAGGGGAAGCAUGGGAAAGAGAGCCAACUUGUUAUCUGCUUUGACCAUUUUAAAAAUGGAGGGUGUCAGAUUUGUAAAAUGCCCUCUCUUGUUCUUGUAGACUCCCAUAUACUCCAGGAUGGGGGAAGCAGUACUCAGAAUGGCUGGCACUGCCUUCAAAGGACCGUUUGGAUGAUCAGGUCAUUGGUUGACCUGGAGAGGAGAGCUCUGGCUUUGUGAGAGCUCACCUUCUCCAUCCCCUCACUUCUUUAGUCGUUAGCUUGUUUUGCAUUUAUUUUUCCAGAGACAGGGAUGUGCAGUGCUGGGGGUAAAACAAUGCAUUGGAUGUAGAGCAAAAUGUGCCGUGCUCUCGGCACAGGUUGGGAGGAGGCUGCAGGAUGAAGGAUGCUCUUCCCCAGGGGAUGCUCAGGAGAGGGGCAUAAAUGAGGAUCCCUUUUUUCCCCAGACUUGGGACGGGUGUGCAGAGCUGGACAGGGUGUGUGGCUGAAACGGUUUGCUAUAGUUUAAUAACAAACUAUGAUCAGGGACAGAAAGGAAGCAGACAAGGAAUUACAACUUGGAACAUGUCUGUAUGGAAGAUUAAUCUGGAUUAUCUGUUCGGUUUGAUUUACUCAAUUUCACUCCCAAAGUAAAUGAUCCUAUAUCAUGUUAAAGCCACUUAUAUCUUAAUGAAAACAUCCACAUCAUGUUUUAAUGCAAUUGAAGUAAUCUGCUUUUAAUUCACACCAUAAGCAAUUGGAAUUAAUUCCUCUCUGUGCUCCUGUGCAGACAAACCCUGAAAGGCACCAACACGUCCUUCUGGCACAGUGCCUGUGGGCGAUGCCACUUGUGCAGUUUGCCUUGUGCAGGGUGCUGUGUGAUGCCAGAUCUAACCCGUAAUGUUUUUACAUCUUCAUUAACUAACACACAAAUGCUGCAGUCAUCCAUCUAACGUGGAUGUAUUUAGCACUGCUAACAGCCUCUGCCCAUGAAAUUCCUCAGAACAAGAAGUGUACAUGAGGCAGGGAUAAGUUGCAUUUUACUGAUGUGAACUGCUUGCACUCUAAGCUUGCUGUGCUCAUCCCCUCCAGAACCCAAGUGAAGGAGAAACACAACAUUCUGAAAGCACACUGGUGCAGUGUAGCGCUGUUGCUUUGCUGUGCACAGCAAUACCUGGCUGAGGCAGGUUGCAUCUGCUGCUGGUUUGUGUCUAGCUUGAUUCAGUGAAGCUGGUGGCCCUCUCUUGUCCUUCAUUCCGUCCUGUGCAAAAUCCGUAGUACUUCCAUGCAGGCAGGCGAGGUAUCUGAGCAAGGUGCAUGGUGUGUGUGCUGAUCUGCUGAUGAUGGUGCUGGUUGAAUGCUUGAGAAUGCACCCUGCCUGUCCAGAAAGGUCUGUAACCCACAGGAAAAGCACUGUCCAGAGACACAGACUUGUGCCUUCAAUGACUGCCCUUUGUUCUGUGUCAGAUGUGGAUAUCUCAAGUGGUACAGAAAAAUCACAAAGAUCGCAUUGCUUUCAAAAUUCUACUUUUAUUAUUUUCCUUGGGUGAAUUCACAGCUCAUCUUUUACAGCCAUAUAUUUGUCUGUGUGCAUAUAUGUGCGUGUACAUAUAUAUAUGCAUGUAUGGAUAGAAGUCAACCAGACAUGGAAAGCAUUUAGCAAUAAGUUGAAUUUCAGUAGCUUCUAGCACUUGUGUGAAUAGCUCAUUGACCACAGCGUCCUCCAACUUGUACCACACAAAGGUGUUCUCUUUGCAUAGGAGCCUUCACGUCUUACCUCUGCCAGUUCUGUUGUAUGGGCAAAAAGGGCACCUGCUCUGUUGGAUGUAAAUAACAAGACCUGAACUGAGAAUUUACAGAGUUUUUAUAAAUGUUUUUAAAAUAAUUCAGCACUGGGACUGUAAAUAUGUCGAGCGUUGCUACACAGCUGGACCCGUUCUGAUGGAUGUUCUUCUCCAGAUAACCAGACAAGGGGACUGCCUUAUAGCCUGUGUUAUCUCCCUGCCAGGGGCUGAUAACAUUUUUGGGAAUGAUUAAACACUGUCUCUUACCCAACUUCCAUUGGGUCAUUCACAUCAGGGUUUUGUGAUGCUGCUAUUAAUUUAUUAAAGAAAGAUUGUUGGUUUAAUCACUCUUUUUUUUUUUUCUUUUUUUUUUUUCUUUUUCAUGGUCUAUUGGAAAAUAAAUAAAUGGACAUGCCCUCUUUUUCUUUCCUAUUUCACCAAUUAAAACAUAUCCUGAUCAAAAAUAUAUCUGACCAAAGUUAAAAUAACAGUGAGAAAUGGAGAUAACGAUCUUUGUUUCUCCUCCCCCUCUCAGAUCAUAGCCUGUGGUUGUUUCAGCCAUAGCAAUUAGUGCAGAUAACCCAACAUUUCUACCAUGCUAAACAAAAUAAUGCUGAAAAGCAGCUGUCUUCCCCUGCUUCUCCUUCCUUCCUCCAGGAACAUCUUUUGAAAAUGAUGUUUUAAAAAUUGCUUCAGUUUGAAGAGUUAACCACCAUCACCUUGCUCUCAUAGCAGCUUUGCUAUGCUGAAUUGUAGCCAUUACCCACAAUAGUGCCUCAGGAUUACCCUCUGUGGGCCCUGGGUCAGUGCUCACAUCUCAGCUCAGGUACAGUGAUGUCUUCUGUUUGUUCUGCCUUUUGUGUUCUUUGAAGAAGAAAAGCAAACCACAAGUAGCUCUGCGUAAGUAUUAUUUAGCUUUUAAUGAGGAGUGUUUGAUGUUCUGGCAGGCAAAUGAUGGUAACUCGGUGUUCAAAUGUGGCAUCCAUCAUGUGAGAAAGAUGCAGAUGUCUCUUGGGCAGGUUUCCUCCCUGGGUCAUGGUAUGCUGAGCUGAGAACUGCACCUGGCUUUGUCUCCAUUUCUCUCCAGGCAAAGAAAACUGUCAGAAAUUCUUCCUGGGAAGGAGCUCCCAGAGGCCACCGAGACUUUGGGCGUUGUAAUGGAAGUGUACUGGUGAAAUUGGGGGUACAGGUGAAUGGCUGCAGACAUUCAAGGCCAGGCUGGAUGGGCUCUGAGCACUGAUGGAGCUGUGGGUGUCCCUGCUCAGUGCAGGGAGUUGGACCAGAUGGCCUUCAAGGGUCCCUUCCAGCUCCAACGAUUCACUGAUUCUAAGUUGCUGUAACAAAGUAUGCUUUCAUUUCUUUGUGCCUGUGAAGUUGCUAUUGACUGUUUUGUCUCUCCCUCAUUUUUCUUUGAGUCCCAGGCCUCCUGCUUUUGGCUUUUACCCACGCUCUGAGCUCAUGCUCUGGAGCUGUCAGGAGCUGACAAAUACCUACGAGGUGUGUCAUUCCCUCUUGGCUGUGCAGGGAUGCUGCAACCCCAGAACAACACAGAGAAGGAAUGUCCUCAGGUGAGAGAUUUUAAGUCUAUCUGAGACAGACAGUCAAUGCAGCAAGGCAUGUUUGCCCAUUAAACAAGCACACCAGCAGAUCUUUAAGCAACAGUUACCCAAAAAGUUAAAGGCAGAUUAGCAUGUGAACUCAAUUUUGCCAGCAGGUUGCUGGGGCAAUGCCUGCAGUUUUACCACACCAGCAUCACUUUAGUAGUGGGGGGACUGGAGAAAUGAAUCAAGCAGCAUCCAGCAGGAAUGUGUUACACCCACAGUUCUGAGCUUUCCUGUGCUCCAAUUGUAAUUACCUCAACAACAAGUCAGAUAAAUUAAUAUUUAAUUAAAAUACAGCCAAAAUAUCAAAUUUUAAUAGGAUGUAAUUGUGGCAUUUUGAGUGAUUUCAAUUGCUGAAGCAUUAAAAGCAAUCUGCAGGCUGGUGCCUGUUAGACCACUGCCUGGUUGCAAUUGCUGAAAGUGAAAGCAGUUUUACCUUUGUAUGCACCACUGCUGUGAGUGUCUCCUCCUGCAGAAACGAGCAGCAGAAUGGGAUGGUGCUGUGCUGGGUGUAAACCAGAGCCACUGAAGAUUUGAAUCAAGCUCCUGUUUGCUAACUGGAGGCUGGAGCAGCCCCUUGGUGACUUUUCGGAGAGGAAGAUUUGGGAUGUGUCAUUCAACUUGCCACAAAGCAGGCUUCCUGUCCAAGAGGACAUUAUGGGGAUCCAAACAGUCCAAGACUGCAGCCAUCUCUUUCUAAGAUGGAGGAAUUCCUUUGCAGAGGACCCAAACUUACUCUAAGAAGUACCCCAUGUAUCAGCAAAGAGAUGACUGCUACUUCUAUUUCUACUCUAUCUGUUUUAAGAGAGACAGCUGUCCCUUCUGCCACUGUGAAGUGGCUCUCGGGAGUGAACAAGUCUGCCAAACGUGGAUGGAAGGUUGCUGUUUCAGCAGGGACUGCAAGUUCAGGCACAUGAGAAUUGAUGUGUUUGCCUAAAGAUGUGCUCUCCAACUUAGUCCACAAAACCACUUUUCAUUGCUAUAGAAGAAGCACAGUGAGAUUCCCUGCUUUUGGGAGAAUCGGCCAGGAGGCUGUCAGAAAGCCCACUGCACUUUUCUUCACCUGAAGGAAGGCAGUGGGAAUGGACCGACCGUACCACCAAGCAACGAAGCUGAUGCAAGUGGCCUCCCUGUGAACAGUGGCCUUGCAGAAAGUCUGGGGAACCAGACAGAGGUUCAGAAGGCACCAGAGAGAGUUGACAUCCCAACUUCCUCCCAUGGCCUGGCUGGACAAAAAUGCAAGAGAUCUGAGGAGAGGAAGGGAAAAGCAAAGAAACUGCCUUGCAAGAAAAGACUUAAAGGUGGACACAAGGUAUCUGUGAGGCCUAUGAACUGGAAAACCACCUUUCCCAAGAUACAGAGAUGGAAGCGAAAGGCAGCAGAGAUGUGUCUGUCUGUUGCUGAGGAUGUGGAUGAGCCCCCAGC